rnacentral:rRNA from 1 species
AUUGAACGCUGGCGGCAGGCUUAACACAUGCAAGUCGAGCGGAGACGAGGUGCUUGCACCUUAUCUUAGCGGCGGACGGGUGAGUAAUGCUUAGGAAUCUGCCUAUUAGUGGGGGACAACAUUCCGAAAGGAAUGCUAAUACCGCAUACGUCCUACGGGAGAAAGCAGGGGAUCUUCGGACCUUGCGCUAAUAGAUGAGCCUAAGGCGGAUUAGCUAGUUGGUGGGGUAAAGGCCUACCAAGGCGACGAUCUGUAGCGGGUCUGAGAGGAUGAUCCGCCACACUGGGACUGAGACACGGCCCAGACUCCUACGGGAGGCAGCAGUGGGGAAUAUUGGACAAUGGGGGGAACCCUGAUCCAGCCAUGCCGCGUGUGUGAAGAAGGCCUUAUGGUUGUAAAGCACUUUAAGCGAGGAGGAGGCUACUGAGACUAAUACUCUUGGAUAGUGGACGUUACUCGCAGAAUAAGCACCGGCUAACUCUGUGCCAGCCGCCGCCGUAAUAC